rnacentral:rRNA from 1 species
ACCAUGCAAGUCGAGCGGAUGACGGGAGCUUGCUCCUUGAUUCAGCGGCGGACGGGUGAGUAAUGCCUAGGAAUCUGCCUGGUAGUGGGGGACAACGAUUUCAAAGGAACGCUAAUACCGCAUACGUCCUACGGGAGAAAGCAGGGGACCUUCGGGCCUUGCGCUAUCAGAUGAGCCUAGGUCGGAUUAGCUAGUUGGUGGGGUAAUGGCUCACCAAGGCGACGAUCCGUAACUGGUCUGAGAGGAUGAUCAGUCACACUGGAACUGAGACACGGUCCAGACUCCUACGGGAGGCAGCAGUGGGGAAUAUUGGACAAUGGGCGAAAGCCUGAUCCAGCCAUGCCGCGUGUGUGAAGAAGGUCUUCCGAUUGUAAACACUUUAAGUUGGGAGGAAGGGCAGGAAGUUAAUACC